rnacentral:rRNA from 1 species
UUGAACUGAAGAGUUUGAUCCUGGCUCAGAUUGAACGCUGGCGGCAUGCCUUACACAUGCAAGUCGAACGGCAGCACGGGUGCUUGCACCUGGUGGCGAGUGGCGAACGGGUGAGUAAUACAUCGGAACAUGUCCUGUAGUGGGGGAUAGCCCGGCGAAAGCCGGAUUAAUACCGCAUACGAUCCACGGAUGAAAGCGGGGGACCUUCGGGCCUCGCGCUAUAGGGUUGGCCGAUGGCUGAUUAGCUAGUUGGUGGGGUAAAGGCCUACCAAGGCGACGAUCAGUAGCUGGUCUGAGAGGACGACCAGCCACACUGGGACUGAGACACGGCCCAGACUCCUACGGGAGGCAGCAGUGGGGAAUUUUGGACAAUGGGCGAAAGCCUGAUCCAGCAAUGCCGCGUGUGUGAAGAAGGCCUUCGGGUUGUAAAGCACUUUUGUCCGGAAAGAAAUCCUUG